rnacentral:rRNA from 1 species
GCAUAUCAAUAAGCGGAGGAAAAGAAACUAACAAGGAUUCCCUUAGUAACGGCGAGUGAAGCGGGAAGAGCUCAAAUUUGAAAUCUUCAAGGUUCUACCUUGACGAAUUGUAGUUUAAAGAAGUGUUUUCUGUUAGAUGAGUAGCAAAAGUUCCUUGGAAUGGGACAUCAUAGAGGGUGAGAAUCCCGUAUUUGGUUAUUCAUUCUAGCUUUGUGAUACACUUUCAAAGAGUCGGAUUGUUUGGGAAUGCAGUCCAAAAUGGGUGGUAAAUUUCAUCUAAAGCUAAAUAUUGGCGAGAGACCGAUAGCGAACAAGUACCGUGAGGGAAAGAUGAAAAGAACUUUGAAAAGAGAGUUAAACAGUACGUGAAAUUGUCAAAAGGGAAGCGUUUGACACCAGUGUUGUUUUUCCGAAAAUCAAUUACGAAUGGCUUGAUUUUGUGUUGUAUUGACCUUAUCAGCUUUCUUCACUUUUUUCGAGUCUUUCUUAAUGCACUUUUCGGUUAACAAGUCAACAUCAAUUUCUUUUGUUGUAAAAGAGUAUUCGGAAGGUGGCUUUCUUUUCGGAGAAAGUGUUUAUAGCCCUAUACUUCUACAAUCGGAGAGAUUGAGGUCUGCAGCGUAGAUCCUUCGGGGUUAGAUACACUUGUGCUAAGUUGUAGCUUUUCAUAGACAACUUGUUGACUAUGUUUAGUCAUGCGGCUUACUCGCUUAUGCUAUUUUACCUACGCUUAGGAUGUUGACAAAAUGGUUUUAAACGACCCGUCUUGAAACACGGACC